rnacentral:rRNA from 1 species
AUACGUAGGGGGCAAGCGUUAUCCGGAUUUACUGGGUGUAAAGGGAGCGUAGGUGGUUUGGUAAGUCAGAUGUGAAAGCCCGGGGCUCAACCCCGGGACUGCAUUUGAAACUAUCAAACUAGAGUGCAGGAGAGGUAAGUGGAAUUCCUAGUGUAGCGGUGAAAUGCGUAGAUAUUAGGAGGAACACCAGUGGCGAAGGCGGCUUACUGGACUGUAACUGACACUGAGGCUCGAAAGCGUGGGGAGCAAACAGGAUUAGAUACCCUGGUAGUCCACGCCGCAAACGAUGAAUACUAGGUGUUGGGGAGCAAAAGCUCCUCGGUGCCGUCGCAAACGCAUUAAGUAUUCCACCUGGGGAGUACGACCGCAAGGUUAAA